rnacentral:rRNA from 1 species
AUUGAACGCUGGCGGCAGGCCUAACACAUGCAAGUCGAACGAGUGGCGGACGGGCGAGUAAUGGCUGGGAAACUGCCUGAUGGAGGGGGAUAACUACUGGAAACGGUAGCUAAUACCGCAUACCAUCGGAUGUGCCCAGAUGGGAUUAGCUAGUAGGUGUGGUAAAUGCUCACCUAGGGGACGAGCCCUAGCUGGUCUGAGCGGAUGACCAGCCACACUGGAAAUGAGAGACGGUCCAGACUCCGACGGGAGGCAGCAGUGGGGAAUAUUGCACAGUGGAGGGAAGACUGAUGCAGCCAGGCCGCGUGUAGGAAGAGGGCCUUCGGGUUGUAAAGUACUUUCAGCGGGGAGGCGGUACUCGAAGAAGAAGCACCGGCUAACUACGUGCCAGCAGCCGCGGUAAUAC